AGCAGCCGCGGUAAUUCCAGCUCCAAUAGCGUAUAUUAAAGUUGUUGCAGUUAAAAAGCUCGUAGUUGAAUUUCGGGACCAAUCUGCCGGUCGUGCCUCCGGUACGCACUGGUUUUAUUGGUUUCUCCCUUCUGACGAACUAUGAUGUCAUUAAUUUGGUGUCAUGGGGAAUCAGGACUGUUACUUUAAAAAAAGUUAGAGUGUUUAUAGCAGGCUCACGCUUGAAUACAUUAGCAUGGAAUAAUGAAAUAGGACGUUUGACCCUAUUUUGUUGGUUUCUAGGAUCGACGUAAUGAUUAAUAGGGAUAGUUGGGGGCAUUAGUAUUCAAUUGUCAGAGGUGAAAUUCUUGGAUUUAUUGAAGACUAACUACUGCGAAAGCAUUUGCCAAGGAUGUUUUCAUUAAUCAAGAACGAAAGUUAGGGGAUCGAAGACGAUCAGAUACCGUCGUAGUCUUAACCAUAAACUAUGCCGACUAGGGAUCGGAUGAUGUUAAUUUUUUAAUGACUCAUUCGGCGCCUU
rnacentral:rRNA from 1 species